rnacentral:rRNA from 1 species
AUUGAACGCUGGCGGCAUGCCUUACACAUGCAAGUCGAACGGUAACAGGGAGCUUGCUCCGCUGACGAGUGGCGAACGGGUGAGUAAUGUAUCGGAACGUACCAUUCAGUGGGGGAUAACGUAGCGAAAGUUACGCUAAUACCGCAUAUUCUGUGAGCAGGAAAGCAGGGGAUCGCAAGACCUUGCGCUGAUUGAGCGGCCGAUAUCAGGAUUAGCUAGUUGGUGAGGUAAAGGCUCACCAAGGCGACGAUCUGUAGCGGGUCUGAGAGGAUGAUCCGCCACACUGGAACUGAGACACGGUCCAGACUCCUACGGGAGGCAGCAGUGGGGAAUUUUGGACAAUGGGGGCAACCCUGAUCCAGCCAUGCCGCGUGAGUGAAGAAGGCCUUCGGGUUGUAAAGCUCUUUCGGCCGGGAAAAAUACGCAUCAGUUAAUAACCUGGUGUGGAUGAUGGUACCGGAAUAAGAAGCACCGGCUAACUACGUGACC